rnacentral:tmRNA from 1 species
GGGGGCGAAAUAGGUUCGACAGGGAGUGUAAAGGACUGUCUUUUGCCCGGCAUUGUACCGCCGUUAUCGGGCUAUUCUUAUAGUUGCCAAUGACAACUAUGCUCCGGUCGCCGUCGCCGCGUAAUGCGGCGUUAGCACCGAAAUCAAGUCCUUGGGGGUAGCACUUCAAGGCGGGGCUCGGAGGCGCCUGGCAACAGAAGCCUCCACU